GACGAACGCUGGCGGCGUGCUUAACACAUGCAAGUCGAACGAUGAACCCGGAGCUUGCUCCGGUGGAUUAGUGGCGAACGGGUGAGUAACACGUGAGUAACCUGCCCUUGACUCUGGGAUAACUGCGGGAAACUGUAGCCAAUACCGGAUACGACCCUCGGCGGCAUCGCCAGGGGGUGGAAAGAAUUUCGGUGAAGGAUGGACUCGCGGCCUAUCAGCUAGUUGGAGAGGUAACGGCUCACCAAGGCGACGACGGGUAGCCGGCGUGGGAGGGUGAGCGGCCACACUAGGACUGAGACACGGCGCAGACGCCUACGGGGGGCAGCAGUGGGGAGUAUUGCACAGUGGGCGCGAGCCUGAUGCAGCAACGCCGCGUGAGGGAUGACGGCCUUCGGGUUGUAAACCUCUUUUAGUAGGGAAGAAGCGAAAGUGACGGUACCUGCAGAAAAAGCACCGGCUAACUACGUGCCAGCCGCCGCAGUAA
rnacentral:rRNA from 1 species